rnacentral:tRNA from 1 species
GUGGUUGUGGCUCAGUGGUAAAGCGCUCACCUAGCAUGUGCGAGGCCCUGGGUUUGAUCCUCAGCCCCACA